GACGGAGGGGGCUAGCGUUGUUCGGAAUUACUGGGCGUAAAGAGCACGUAGGCGGCGGUGCAAGUUGGGGGUGAAAUCCCGGGGCUCAACCCUGGAAUUGCCUCCAAAACUGUGCUGCUUGAGUUCGGAAGAGGAGAGUGGAAUUCCCAGUGUAGAGGUGAAAUUCGUAGAUAUUAGGAAGAACACCGGUGGCGAAGGCGGCCCACUGGAUCGGUACUGACGCUGAGGUGCGAAAGCGUGGGGAGCAAACAGG
rnacentral:rRNA from 1 species